rnacentral:rRNA from 1 species
AGAGUUUGAUCCUGGCUCAGGAUGAACGCUAGCUACAGGCUUAACACAUGCAAGUCGAGGGGCAUCAGUUUGGUUUGCUUGCAAACCAAAGCUGGCGACCGGCGCACGGGUGAGUAACACGUAUCCAACCUGCCUCAUACUCGGGGAUAGCCUUUCGAAAGAAAGAUUAAUAUCCGAUAGCAUAUAUUUCCCGCAUGGGUUUUAUAUUAAAGAAAUUCGGUAUGAGAUGGGGAUGCGUUCCAUUAGUUUGUUGGCGGGGUAACGGCCCACCAAGACUACGAUGGAUAGGGGUUCUGAGAGGAAGGUCCCCCACAUUGGAACUGAGACACGGUCCAAACUCCUACGGGAGGCAGCAGUGAGGAAUAUUGGUCAAUGGGCGAGAGCCUGAACCAGCCAAGUAGCGUGAAGGAUGACUGCCCUAUGGGUUGUAAACUUCUUUUAUAAAGGAAUAAAGUCGGGUAUGUAUACCCGUUUGCAUGUACUUUAUGAAUAAGGAUCGGCUAACUCCGUGCCAGCAGCCGCGGUAAUACGGAGGAUCCGAGCGUUAUCCGGAUUUAUUGGGUUUAAAGGGAGCGUAGGCGGAUUGUUAAGUCAGUUGUGAAAGUUUGCGGCUCAACCGUAAAAUUGCAGUUGAUACUGGCAGUCUUGAGUGCAGUAGAGGUGGGCGGAAUUCGUGGUGUAGCGGUGAAAUGCUUAGAUAUCACGAAGAACUCCGAUUGCGAAGGCAGCUCACUGGAGUGUAACUGACGCUGAUGCUCGAAAGUGUGGGUAUCAAACAGGAUUAGAUACCCUGGUAGUCCACACAGUAAACGAUGAAUACUCGCUGUUUGCGAUAUACAGUAAGCGGCCAAGCGAAAGCAUUAAGUAUUCCACCUGGGGAGUACGCCGGCAACGGUGAAACUCAAAGGAAUUGACGGGGGC